CCCUGGAAGAACUUCUUCUGGAAAGAAUCCUACUGAUACCUGGAUAAUGAUGACAUUUAUAAAAGAGUUGCAGGUUUAAGAAGCUCUUACUGGGAGAAUAAAGUGGGUAAACAACCAUAUCAGCAUCACCAGAGUUCCAUAGGAAAACACCAGAUUUCCAGUAUUGUUUAUAUAACAUCAGAUUUUAUAGACUCCAUCAAUGACUGGCAAUUUUUCUUUAAAAUAAAAUGAAUUUGAAUGGUGA